rnacentral:rRNA from 1 species
UACGAAGGGUGCAAGCGUUACUCGGAAUUACUGGGCGUAAAGCGUGCGUAGGUGGUGAGUUAAGUCUGUCGUGAAAUCCCCGGGCUUAACCUGGGAACUGCAUUUGUGACUGCAUGGCUGGAGUGCGGCAGAGGGGGAUGGAAUUCCGCGUGUAGCAGUGAAAUGCGUAGAUAUGCGGAGGAACACCGAUGGCGAAGGCAAUCCCCUGGGCCUGCACUGACGCUCAUGCACGAAAGCGUGGGGAGCGAACAGG